ACCGGCUCGCUAUGUAUAUAUGAAGGGCUUAUUCUAAGCUAAUCACAACAAAAAAUAGUUAUAGGUGAUUAUACACAUUAAUGGAAACCUAAUUAUGAAUACCAUAAUCAAUUAUAUCUUAUAGAACCCCUAUAAAUACUCCACAGUGUACUUUAGAAAUAGAGAUAUUAUCUCAGUACUGUGAUUGAGCCUGUGUGCAACAGCAGAACAUCUAGUAUACUUGUAAGGCAUCCAAGUGAAUACUCACCUUCUAGUAGUACAAUUACCCCAAGCACAAGAAAAAAUACUGCAGGUGAUCAAAAAUUGCGACGUUUAUGUUGUAGAAUGGCUCUAAACUUAAUCCCACUUAGAAUCUAUGGCACUGUUCAUAAACCACAGUGCUGCUCCACAAACCUAGAUGAUAUAUACAGUGUAAAUUCCGCCAAGAGAAAUGAGAAAUGCAAUGCAGAAUAAUGUUCAAAGCUUCUACUUGCUGAUCGCAACAGUCUUAAGACUGUUAAUGCAUGCAUAAAAAAAAAAGUCUUUGUUAUUGCAUAGGGUUGAAUAUUUGUGCAAGCAGUGUAUGUGAUUUAUGUUUAACAACUGGUUUUGCCUUUGCAAAUAACCAGGGCAUAAUUGUUCUGAAAUAAUGUAUAUUUUGGUUUGUUGGAAGCUGGAAAAAUUUCAGGCCUUGGAGCCAGAGGCGUCUUGUUCCUAGCCCGGCCUGGAAUAAAGAAGGACUGGACCUGCGAAGUAAUGAUGCCAAGGUGCAAUGUCAGCAGCAAUGCCUCCACCUGCCUCCGAAGGAUGGAGGUGUUAUUUGAAUUUGUUGCGAAAGGUUGGAGUCAUACAGAGCCUGCAGCAGCCUCCGAAACCCCACAGCCUCCUGCGGAAAACUCGCCAGCCACAUCAAAAGUCGCCAUUGCCACCGCAGACACCCCCACCAAGUCCUCUGGAAACCUAUCCGAGGAGAUGUAAACCCUGACACUCAUCCCUGUCCCAGCUGCAAGCACCUAUUCACC